rnacentral:misc_RNA from 1 species
GAUGAAGAACGUAGCGAAAUGCGAUAAGUAAUGUGAAUUGCAGAAUUCAGUGAAUCAUCGAAUCUUUGAACGCACCUUGCGCCCUUUGGACAUUCCGAAGGGCAUGCCUGUUUGAGUAUCAUGAACACCUCAACUCUCACGGCUUGUCCGUGAUGAGCUUGGACUUUGGGGGUCUUGCCGGCCUGUGGUCGGCUCCUCUCAAAUGGAUCAGCUUGCCAGUGUUUGGUGGCAUCACAGGUGUGAUAACUAUCUGCGCUUGUGGUUUUCCAUCAGAUAACCUUCAGUGAUAUGGAGGUUCGCUGGAGCUCACAAAUGUCUCUCCUUAGUGAGGACAGCUCUUUGAACGUUUGAUCUCAAAUCAGGUAGGACUACCCGCUGAACUUUAGCAUAUCAAUAAGCGGAGGA